GGUGGCGGCGCCGGCGGUGGAGGUGGCGGUAGUGGUGAGGGUUGGGGUUGGGGUGGAGGUAGUGGGGGAGGAAGUGGCAAUGUUAAAUGUUGGGUGUGGGGAUGUGAGAAAAAGUUAGAGAAAAGAAGUGGAAUUCGUCCCUCCAGCUCCAAGGGAUAAUCAUGCACACAUGUACGAGCAAAGGAGUUAGUUCUCCUUUCAUGGCUUCAAUAGCUUCACUCUUGUGUUUUCUCUAUUAUUUACCAUUUCUGAUGACCUGGUUUGAACAUAUAUAGUUUCUCGCUUUGAGAAUAAAUUGUCUUUAUUAUUUUUUUUUUUUCGGGGUUGUUGGAUGGUGAUUGGAUUUAUGUAUUUUUCAUACACUUAGUUACAUUUGGGGAAAAGAUGAAUAUAGUGAGGAGUGAGGAGUGAGGAGUGAGUGUUAUGUUAUACAAAAUUUUAUAUGCUACUUGCAUAAUAAAGGGUGAAUUUUGCUUGGCUUUUUUAAGGUGCAAUGCACUGCGUCUUUUCUGGUAUUAAUGUUUUCAAUUCAUCGUUACAACAUUCAAAAGAAUGCAUCAUAUACUUUGUUUUCUGGAGGGGUAAUGUAUUAGAUGCUUAAUUACUAACGAAAUUGGAUCAAGA
rnacentral:lncRNA from 1 species